AAAAAAAAAAAAAAAAGAAAUAUUUUGUUUUAUCAUGAUAUGGAUAAUGUGAAAUAUUAGAGCCCUUUAUUUCUCAUCAUAUAUUCAAUAAAGUUUUAUAGUAUUGGCACUCUAAACAAAUUUUCUAGUUUAACUGUAUUUUAUUAUGGCAUUUUUUGAAUAUAUAACAUGGACCCAUCAAAAUAUACAAAACAAGGAGUGUAAUUAACCAUUUUUAAAAUUAAUUUUAUAUAUA
rnacentral:misc_RNA from 1 species